rnacentral:rRNA from 1 species
CGAGACCUACAGGUCAGGCGGGGCUACCCGCUGAAUUUAAGCAUAUCAAUAAGCGGAGGAAAAA